CCCGCCGGGCCUGCAGCUAAAAGCCGGAUUCUUGAGGCCAUCCGGCAAGUCAGGCCAAUGUUUUGGUCGGGAUCGACAUGGUGUAACUUUUUCUGUUUUCCUCCUUGGCAUUUCAUGUUCGUUUACCUUAUUCUAGGCAGUCUAAUCCUUAAUUUAUUUUAAUAAUCAGGAUAAACAGAUGCGUACACAAACGAAUACUAGCUAAGGCCGAUGAUUUAUUAGAGAAUGUUCGAGUCGGUCGUAACGAGGCCGUCGCCGCUCGGUUUUACAAGCGCCCCUCCCUCGGCGGGGUUAUCCGGGGGGCUGUCGCCCGCCGCGCUAUCCGAUCCCUGGCUGCUACCAGGGCGGCUGCCGAGCCCCGCGGGUUUCCCAGCUGCCUUCCCAGGACCUGGAAACUUAAACUUCGCAAAUGGGGCGUCUCCCUACUCGGUGGCGGAGGAAAUAGCGGCCUGGAGAGCCAUCCGACCCGGGAAACCGGCGCGUCUUUCCAGGCGACCCGCCGACUGCGGAGGCUGCGAGGAGCGGCCUGCUCAGACGCUUGGCCCAAGGUGGGGCUCACUCGGCCUUAGAGGCGGAACUACUUUCUGGGCUUUGGACCUAAGAAUCAGCUGUCUCCCUUCCUAACGCCCUUUCUCUGAAGAGUAAGCUGUGGCUCUAAAACAAAGGAUUCCCCAUUCACGUGUAAAGCUACAAGGGAUUCCCCAGAGGAGUGGCUCCUUCAACCCAGAAAUGGGGAGGGUCUCACUAUGUUGCCCAGGCUAGACUUGAACUCCUGCACUCAAGCGAUCCUCCUGCCUCAGCCUCUUGAGUAGCUGGGACUACAGGUGUGUACUAUUGCACCCAGCCUUGGCCAGUCUUGAUCCACACUGUUGACAUCAUGACUUUAUCCUCUGGACCUGACUCUUCUGUUGUCCUCAGCCCUGCCGUGGUUGACUUCUUCUAACUGCAGGGAGCUAGAAGUCAGAGAAAUAUGUGAACUUCCUUUCUGUGCCAUGAUGUUCCAAAGAGGCACUGGGGCAAGACUGAGAGUUGUGGAACUCAGCAGACCCUCUUCAGUCAGCCUUCAUGGUAUGUUGUCUGGUAAACUGACUUCAGGAUAGAAGGUAUGGCACAAGCGCCUAACUGUUCAUAGGUGCUGGACAAAUGUUGAUCAAAUGAAUAAAUAAAUGAGGAGUGAAUAAAUCAAUAUAUUCCAAGGAUGCCACCAUAUAGUUACAGAGUUACUACCCACUGAAGUUGCAUUCCUAAGUGAAACUAUAAAUCAUUUUUAUAAUAAAG
rnacentral:lncRNA from 1 species